UACGUAGGGUGCGAGCGUUAAUCGGAAUUACUGGGCGUAAAGUGUGCGCAGGCGGCCGCGCAAGUCGAGUGUGAAAGCCCCGAGCUUAACUUGGGAACUGCGCUCGAAACUACGUGGCUGGAGUGUGGCAGAGGAAGGUGGAAUUCCACGUGUAGCGGUGAAAUGCGUAGAGAUGUGGAGGAGCACCGAUGGCGAAGGCAGCCUUCUGGGCCAACACUGACGCUCAUGCACGAAAGCGUGGGGAGCAAACAGG
rnacentral:rRNA from 1 species